rnacentral:piRNA from 1 species
UACAAGAACCUAUACUGGGGCUGAGUA